rnacentral:rRNA from 1 species
UACGAAGGGUGCAAGCGUUACUCGGAAUUACUGGGAGUAAAGCGUGCGUAGGCGGUUUGUUAAGUCCGUUGUGAAAGCCCUGGGCUCAACCUGGGAAUUGCAGUGGAUACUGGCGAGCUAGAGUGCGGUAGAGGAUGGUGGAAUUCCCGGUGUAGCGGUGAAAUGCGUAGAGAUCGGGAGGAACACCCGUGGCGAAGGCGGCUAUCUGGACCAGCACUGACGCUGAGGCACGAAAGCGUGGGGAGCAAACAGG